GUCAGCGGUUCCGUUCUGCUCAGUAGUGGAUGCACUUGACAUACAGAACUGCUCAGAAUUACAGAACACACGAAGCAGCCGGUUUAAUGAUUUCUUUGCUCGGGACUAUGAGAGGUUGAUUUGGGCACCCUCUCAAACUGUGUGCUGAGGUGAGCAUCUUGCUCCAGUCCUGGCCUGGAGUGGUCGAGCUGGCAUUCUCCGGAGGCAAUCUGGCUCCAGAAUAAACCGUGACCUCCUUGAAAUUUGGGGAUCGCAUGGAUGCCCCCUUAUGAUCGCAGGUUCUGUGAGGAAUAAAAUGCUGCACCCAGGCGGACUUGGAAAUCACGCUGUGAUAACGAUACCAGACGAAAGAUCCUGUGAUCACCAAAACUCUGCAGCUAUUAAAAUCUGCCUAAGGCUUGUCCUGCUUUGAGGAAACGAGGUAAGGAGGACUGGAUAGGAUUGUUCGUCUGCUCUACAGACAGUUUUGUUGAACCUCAUCCUUCCCAUCAGAUCCGUGCCCUGAAAAUCCCGCUCUAUCCCUGGUGCAAACACAACCUCAUGUAUUUUGGGGGAAGAAGAAAUAUUCCUGGAGAGCAUAUGGAUUUCCCAGUGCAGCCCUUAGCUACCCCGGGGGCACCUCCAUCUUCAUCCCAUGGACCAACGUAGACUGUAAUGGAUGGCAAAAACUUGAAGCUUAACCAAGACUCAAGCCCACCAUCACUUCUAUUUUAAUAAUCUGAGCAGGGAAAAUAGUUCAGCAGGUUAUCUGAGUUAAACUGGCUAGAGACGGUAUCCAAAGAUGCAAGUAGCAGAAGAGUUGGCACCAAGUGAAAAGGAGGGUUGCCAAGGUGGACGGUGGCAGGGCCAGGGCCCAAGUCCUGGAGCCACGUUACCUGUCUCAGUCCUCAGGGAAGGGAGGAACGUUCUGAAAACAAGGCCGGGCAGCCUGAACUUCAUCUGAGCAAGCCAAGCUCAGACGAGGGCACAGCAGAAGUCAACAAGCAUCCUCUCUACUCCUUCUGUAUCAAGGCUAGUUCUUUUUUUUUUUUAAAGAUUGGCACCUGAGCUGACAACUGUUGCCAAUCUUCU